rnacentral:rRNA from 1 species
UACGUAGGGUGCGAGCGUUGUCCGGAAUUACUGGGCGUAAAGAGCUCGUAGGUGGUUUGUCGCGUUGUUCGUGAAAACUCACAGCUCAACUGUGGGCGUGCGGGCGAUACGGGCAGACUAGAGUACUGCAGGGGAGACUGGAAUUCCUGGUGUAGCGGUGAAAUGCGUAGAUAUCUGGAGGAACACCGGUGGCGAAGGCGGCAUCCUGGACCGGUAUUGACGCUGAGGCGCGAAAGCUAGGGGAGCAAACGGG